UUUAACACAUGACAUCAACUAUUAUCAGAGUUUUGAAUCAUUGAUCAAACUCACUCCCUACAUUCAUUAUUGUUGACAGGUUGCAGGAAGUGGUUAUAUUCAUUGUUGGCGGGACAACAUAUGAAGAAUCACGUGCAGUUGCUUUACAAAAUACUACAAACUCUGGUAUUCGUUUCAUUCUUGGGGGUUCUGCAGUUCUCAAUUCUAAGAGGUUUCUGAAGGACCUUGAAGAAGCUCAGAGGAUAGCUCGGACUACCACUGGUUUGGUUUGACUUCCAAUCUAGACUCUCAAGCAUCUUAGACUCUUUCAAAAUGGUGAUGCUGUAUGUAAAUGUGAGUUGUAAUACAUGUUUUCUGAAACAGUUGCCGCCCCUCUCAUUGCCAAUUUUGACAGUCACAAUGCGGUUCUAAUAACUUAGUUGCUGUUCUUUGUAGCUGAGAAAAUAGGCUCAUGUACAGCUAAUCUGAUAAUAUUUAAGUGUUAUUCUCAAGUUGAAACUA